rnacentral:rRNA from 1 species
AGCGUACACGGUGGAUGCCCUGGCAGUCAGAGGCGAUGAAGGACGUGCUAAUCUGCGAUAAGCGUCGGUGAGGUGAUAUGAACCGUUAUAACCGGCGAUUUCCGAAUGGGGAAACCCAGUGUGUUUCGACACACUAUCAUUAACUGAAUCCAUAGGUUAAUGAGGCGAACCGGGGGAACUGAAACAUCUAAGUACCCCGAGGAAAAGAAAUCAACCGAGAUUCCCCCAGUAGCGGCGAGCGAACGGGGAGGAGCCCAGAGCCUGAAUCAGUGUGUGUGUUAGUGGAAGCGUCUGGAAAGGCGCGCGAUACAGGGUGACAGCCCCGUACACAAAAAUGCACAUGCUGUGAGCUCGAUGAGUAGGGCGGGACACGUGGUAUCCUGUCUGAAUAUGGGGGGACCAUCCUCCAAGGCUAAAUACUCCUGACUGACCGAUAGUGAACCAGUACCGUGAGGGAAAGGCGAAAAGAACCCCGGCGAGGGGAGUGAAAAAGAACCUGAAACCGUGUACGUACAAGCAGUGGGAGCCUCUUAAUGGGGUGACUGCGUACCUUUUGUAUAAUGGGUCAGCGACUUAUAUUCUGUAGCAAGGUUAACCGAAUAGGGGAGCCGAAGGGAAACCGAGUCUUAACUGGGCGUUAAGUUGCAGGGUAUAGACCCGAAACCCGGUGAUCUAGCCAUGGGCAGGUUGAAGGUUGGGUAACACUAACUGGAGGACCGAACCGACUAAUGUUGAAAAAUUAGCGGAUGACUUGUGGCUGGGGGUGAAAGGCCAAUCAAACCGGGAGAUAGCUGGUUCUCCCCGAAAGCUAUUUAGGUAGCGCCUCGUGAAUUCAUCUCCGGGGGUAGAGCACUGUUUCGGCAAGGGGGUCAUCCCGACUUACCAACCCGAUGCAAACUGCGAAUACCGGAGAAUGUUAUCACGGGAGACACACGGCGGGUGCUAACGUCCGUCGUGAAGAGGGAAACAACCCAGACCGCCAGCUAAGGUCCCAAAGUCAUGGUUAAGUGGGAAACGAUGUGGGAAGGCCCAGACAGCCAGGAUGUUGGCUUAGAAGCAGCCAUCAUUUAAAGAAAGCGUAAUAGCUCACUGGUCGAGUCGGCCUGCGCGGAAGAUGUAACGGGGCUAAACCAUGCACCGAAGCUGCGGCAGCGACGCUUAUGCGUUGUUGGGUAGGGGAGCGUUCUGUAAGCCUGUGAAGGUGUACUGUGAGGUAUGCUGGAGGUAUCAGAAGUGCGAAUGCUGACAUAAGUAACGAUAAAGCGGGUGAAAAGCCCGCUCGCCGGAAGACCAAGGGUUCCUGUCCAACGUUAAUCGGGGCAGGGUGAGUCGACCCCUAAGGCGAGGCCGAAAGGCGUAGUCGAUGGGAAACAGGUUAAUAUUCCUGUACUUGGUGUUACUGCGAAGGGGGGACGGAGAAGGCUAUGUUGGCCGGGCGACGGUUGUCCCGGUUUAAGCGUGUAGGCUGGUUUUCCAGGCAAAUCCGGAAAACCAAGGCUGAGGCGUGAUGACGAGGCACUACGGUGCUGAAGCGACAAAUGCCCUGCUUCCAGGAAAAGCCUCUAAGCAUCAGGUAACAUCAAAUCGUACCCCAAACCGACACAGGUGGUCAGGUAGAGAAUACCAAGGCGCUUGAGAGAACUCGGGUGAAGGAACUAGGCAAAAUGGUGCCGUAACUUCGGGAGAAGGCACGCUGAUAUGUAGGUGAAGCGACUUGCUCGUGGAGCUGAAAUCAGUCGAAGAUACCAGCUGGCUGCAACUGUUUAUUAAAAACACAGCACUGUGCAAACACGAAAGUGGACGUAUACGGUGUGACGCCUGCCCGGUGCCGGAAGGUUAAUUGAUGGGGUUAGCGGUAACGCGAAGCUCUUGAUCGAAGCCCCGGUAAACGGCGGCCGUAACUAUAACGGUCCUAAGGUAGCGAAAUUCCUUGUCGGGUAAGUUCCGACCUGCACGAAUGGCGUAAUGAUGGCCAGGCUGUCUCCACCCGAGACUCAGUGAAAUUGAACUCGCUGUGAAGAUGCAGUGUACCCGCGGCAAGACGGAAAGACCCCGUGAACCUUUACUAUAGCUUGACACUGAACAUUGAGCCUUGAUGUGUAGGAUAGGUGGGAGGCUUUGAAGUGUGGACGCCAGUCUGCAUGGAGCCGACCUUGAAAUACCACCCUUUAAUGUUUGAUGUUCUAACGUUGGCCCGUAAUCCGGGUUGCGGACAGUGUCUGGUGGGUAGUUUGACUGGGGCGGUCUCCUCCUAAAGAGUAACGGAGGAGCACGAAGGUUGGCUAAUCCUGGUCGGACAUCAGGAGGUUAGUGCAAUGGCAUAAGCCAGCUUGACUGCGAGCGUGACGGCGCGAGCAGGUGCGAAAGCAGGUCAUAGUGAUCCGGUGGUUCUGAAUGGAAGGGCCAUCGCUCAACGGAUAAAAGGUACUCCGGGGAUAACAGGCUGAUACCGCCCAAGAGUUCAUAUCGACGGCGGUGUUUGGCACCUCGAUGUCGGCUCAUCACAUCCUGGGGCUGAAGUAGGUCCCAAGGGUAUGGCUGUUCGCCAUUUAAAGUGGUACGCGAGCUGGGUUUAGAACGUCGUGAGACAGUUCGGUCCCUAUCUGCCGUGGGCGCUGGAGAACUGAGGGGGGCUGCUCCUAGUACGAGAGGACCGGAGUGGACGCAUCACUGGUGUUCGGGUUGUCAUGCCAAUGGCACUGCCCGGUAGCUAAAUGCGGAAGAGAUAAGUGCUGAAAGCAUCUAAGCACGAAACUUGCCCCGAGAUGAGUUCU